rnacentral:rRNA from 1 species
CGAAUGUAUCGUAUAAAAUUCUAGAUAGAAGAUCGAUAAUGACAAAUAUCUAUCUAUUAGUCUUGACCAAAUUACGUGCCAGCAGUCGCGGUAACACGCAGAAGACAAGUGUUAUUCAUCUUUAAUAGGUUUAUAGGGUACCUAGACGGGAAAUCAAGCCAUAGUAGGGACUAGUUUUCUAGAGUUUUAUGGAAGAAAGUCGAAUUUUUGGAAGAGAGAUAAAAUAUUAUGAAACCAAAGAGACGGGUAACGGCAUAGGCAACUUUCUAUGUAAAAACUGACGUUGAGGGACGAAGCCCUGGGUAACAAGAAGGAUUAGAUACCCGAGUAGUCCAGGGAGACAAUUAUGAGUGCCAUAGGCUAGAUUAAUUAGUUUAUAAAUGAAAGUGCAAGCAUUCCACCUUAAGACUAAAGCGGCAACGCCCAAAUUUAAAUCAUUAGACCAUUCCUGAAACCAGUAGUGAAGUAUGUUAUUUAAUUCGAUAAUCCGCGAAUAACCUUACCACGUUUUGAAUACUAUUCAAUUAAUACAAGCGCUGCACGGCUGUCUUCAGUUAAUGUCGUGAGACUUUGGUUAAUUCCUUUAAUUAACGAAAACCCUUGUUUUAUUUAUACAUAAAACAGUUC